rnacentral:lncRNA from 1 species
CAUAAUUCAAAAUAUGAUUAAGUUCUACAUAUUUUAAGUUCUACAUAUUUUGCAACCAGUAACACAACUUACAACCAAACAUCAUUGUGAGGUCCACGUUAUCACACACUUCUCCAUAUACUAUUAAUUCUGAUUUCCUCAAAUCAACCCAAAAUCUACUCUGAAUUAUUCAUAUAUCCUGAAGAAGCAGUUGAUCUCUCUG